AUGCGAGUGAGCGCCGCGGGGCGAGGCGAGGGCGCGGGCGGCCGCGGCGUUGGGAGCUCCCGGCCCAUCCGCCGCCCCCCCGCCCCGAAAGAAGUGCAGUAGUUUGUGAAGCGCAAGAUGGCGGCGCGGCCGUGAGCGCAGGCGGCGGGCGGGCGGCGGCGCGGGCUGAGGGGGCGAGGCGGACGGCGCCGGCAGGUGGUGGAUGUGGACUUUUAAACUGUGUCUCAACAUCUCAUCCUCAACUAUUUUUAGUCUGAUUGCACUACGAAAGAAAAGCUGCUAAUGGGAUAAAUGUUGAGACUUUACAAGAACUGACUUGAAGUACCGAAAGCCAUUAUUAUUAUUAUUUUAUUAUUACUAUUAUUAAUCAAGAAGAGCUUGAAGCUAAGUCUAUAUCUGAUCAGUUGUU
rnacentral:lncRNA from 1 species